rnacentral:rRNA from 1 species
AUGGGCGCAAGCCUGAUGACGCAACGCCGCGUGGGGGAUGAAGGUCUUCGGAUUGUAAACCCCUGUCGACUGGGACGAAAGACCCGGGAGCUAAUCAUCCUGGGAGUGACGGUACCGUGUAAGGAAGCCCCGGCUAACUCUGUGCCAGCAGCCGCGGUAAUACAGAAGUGGCAAGCGUUCGUCUGAAUUACUGGGCGUAAAGGGGGCGUAGGCGGCCCUCUAAGUCCGACGUGAAAUCCCCCGGCUUAACCUGGGAACUGCGUCUGAUACUGGGAGGCUUGAGUAUGGGAAAGGGAUGUAUAAUUCCAGGUGUAGCGGAGAAAUGCGUAAAUAUCUGGAGGAAUACCGGUGGCGAAGGCGGCAUCCUGGACCAUUACUGACGCUGAGGCACAAAAGCCCGGGGAACAAACGGCAUUAAAUACCCCGGUAUUCCUACCCCUAAACUAUGAAUACUUGGUGUGGCGGGUAUCGAUCCCUGCCUGCCCGAAGCUAACGCCUUAAGUAUUCCGCCUGGGGAGUACGGUCGAAAGGGUGAAACUCAAAGGAAUUU